GGCCAGACUCCUACGGGAGGCAGCAGUGGGGGAUAUUGCACAAUGGGGGAAACCCUGAUGCAGCGACGCCGCGUGGGUGAAGAAGCGCCUAGGCGCGUAAAGCCCUGUCAGCAGGGAAGAAAAUGACGGUACCUGAAGAAGAAGCCCCGGCUAACUACGUGCCAGCAGCCGCGGUAAUACGUAGGGGGCAAGCGUUAUCCGGAUUUACUGGGUGUAAAGGGGGCGCAGACGGCGAUGCAAGCCAGGAGUGAAAGGCCGGGGCCCAACCCCGGGACUGCUCUUGGAACUGCGUGGCUGGAGUGCAGGAGGGGCAGGCGGAAUUCCUGGUGUAGCGGUGAAAUGCGUAGAUAUCAGGAGGAACACCGGUGGCGAAGGCGGCCUGCUGGACUGCAACUGACGUUGAGGCCCGAAAGCGUGGGGAGCAAACAGGAUUAGAUACCCUUGUA
rnacentral:rRNA from 1 species